UACGUAGGGGGCAAGCGUUGUCCGGAUUUAUUGGGCGUAAAGAGCGUGUAGGCGGCCAGACAGGUCAGCUGUGAAAACUCGAGGCUCAACCUCGAGACGUCGGUUGAAACCGUCUGGCUAGAGUCCGGAAGAGGAGAGUGGAAUUCCCGGUGUAACGGUGAAAUGCGCAGAUAUCGGGAAGAACACCCGUGGCGAAGGCGGCUCUCUGGGACGGUACUGACGCUGAGACGCGAAAGCGUGGGGAGCGAACAGG
rnacentral:rRNA from 1 species